rnacentral:rRNA from 1 species
GGCCCUUAUGUCCAGGGCUACACACGUGUUACAAUGGCCGAUACAACGGGCAGCCACCUGGUGACAGGGAGCUAAUCCUAAAAGUCGGUCUCAGUUCGGAUCGAAGUCUGCAACCCGACUUCGUGAAGCUGGAUUCGCUAGUAAUCGCAGAUCAGCCAUGCUGCGGUGAAUACGUUCCCGGGCCUU